GGUUUGGUAGCUCAGCGGUAGAGCGUGGGAUUGCAGAUCCUUAGUGGUUCGACUCUGGUUCAAGCCU